rnacentral:rRNA from 1 species
UACGAAGGGGGCUAGCGUUGCUCGGAAUCACUGGGCGUAAAGCGCACGUAGGCGGACUCUUAAGUCGGUGGUGAAAUCCUGGAGCUCAACUCCAGAACUGCCUUCGAUACUGAGAGUCUCGAGUCCGGGAGAGGUGAGUGGAACUGCGAGUGUAGAGGUGAAAUUCGUAGAUAUUCGCAAGAACACCAGUGGCGAAGGCGGCUACCUGGCCCACUCUUGACGCUGAGGCGCGAAAGCUAGGGGAGCAAACGGG